GGAUAUAGCUCAGUUGGUAGAGUGCUUGCCUUGCAUGCAUAAGGCCCUGGGUUCAAUCCCCAGGACCA
rnacentral:tRNA from 1 species